AGGAAAAGAAACCAACAGGGAUUGCCCUAGUAACGGCGAGUGAAGCGGCAACAGCUCAAAUUUGAAAUCUGGCGCAAGCCCGAGUUGUAAUUUGUAGAGGAUGCUUCUAGGUAGCGACCGGUCUAAGUUCCUUGGAACAGGACGUCAUAGAGGGUGAGAAUCCCGUAUGUGACUGGCCCGCACCUUCUACGUAGCUCCUUCGACGAGUCGAGUUGUUUGGGAAUGCAGCUCUAAAUGGGAGGUAAAUUUCUUCUAAAGCUAAAUACCGGCCAGAGACCGAUAGCGCACAAGUAGAGUGAUCGAAAGAUGAAAAGCACUUUGGAAAGAGAGUUAAAAAGCACGUGAAAUUGUUGAAAGGGAAGCGCUCACAACCAGACUUCUAGGCAGUGUUCCGCCGGUCUUUUGACCGGUCUACUCUCUGUCUCGAGGCCAACAUCAUCUGGGACCGCUGGAUAAGACCUUAGGAAUGUAGCUCCCCUCGGGGAGUGUUAUAGCCUCUGGUGAUGCAGCGAGUCUCGGGUGAGGUCCGCGCUUCGGCAAGGAUGUUGGCGUAAUGGUUGUCAGCGGCCCGUCUUGAAACACGGACCAAGGAGUCUAACAUCUAUGCGAGUGUUCGGGUGUCAAACCCCUACGCGUAAUGAAAGUGAACGGAGGUGGGAAGCGUAAGCUGCACCAUCGACCGAUCCUGAUGUCCUCGGAUGGAUUUGAGUAAGAGCAUAGCUGUUGGGACCCGAAAGAUGGUGAACUAUGCCUGAAUAGGGUGAAGCCAGAGGAAACUCUGGUGGAGGCUCGCAGCGGUUCUGACGUGCAAAUCGAUCGUCAAAUUUGGGUAUAGGGGCGAA
rnacentral:rRNA from 1 species